GAUGCUGGGCAAAUCAUGUUUUCCAAACUACUACCUGUACCACGAGUCACACAAGAAAGGCAGUGGGAGAUUAGGGAGGUUAACAAGUAGCUCAAGAACUGGUAUAGGAAGGCGGGGUUUGGGUCCCUGGAGAACAGGGCCGACUUCUCUGUCGGCUACAGGCUCUAUCGUAGGAAUGGGCUGCACCUCAAUAGGGAAGGGGCAGCUGAUAGCUAGAAGGUUGGAGGAGUGUUUAAA